UGUGUACGGCUCGUUAGUGGGGAAGGUGAGGAGGUGUGUGUGCGGGGGGGCUAUAUAAGGAAGGAUAUGUUCGAUGAUUGCAAUGUGAGAUAAUAAUGAAAUAACAGGGGAACAAUAAAGUGACUAUGGAGUUGUGGAUCAAAAGGAAAAAGGUAGCAAGAUCUGGAAGGAAUGAAGUAAACUGAAGCUAUAACAAAAAAAAUGAGAAAGGGAAGGAUUUUACAAGGAAGUUACAGUACAAAGGAAUUUACAAAGAAGUUACAAUACAAAGAAAGAGAAAACGGAGACUAGAAAUGAUUGCGAGCUGCUGAAAAGAGACAGCAGUGAGAGAAGUAAAUGAGAUUGGGUUAAGUUAGAGUAAAGCUUGAGUAGGAUAAAGUUAGGUUAGGUUAGGUGAGGUCACGUUCCUACACUAGGUUAUAGAUCAUGAUGCUUUGAGCCGAAAAAAGACAGCAAUGAGAGAGAAGUAAAUGAGACUGGGUUGAGUUAGAGUAAAGCUUGAGUAGGAUAAAGUUAGGUUAGGUUAGGUGAGGUCAUGUUCCUUCACUAGGUUAUAGAUCAUGAUGCUUUGAGCCGAAAAGAGACAGCAGUGAGAGAAGUAAAUGAGAUUGGGUUAAGUUAGAGUAAAGCUUGAGUAGGAUAAAGUUAGGUUAGGUUAGGUGAGGUCAUGUUCCUUCACUAGGUUAUAGAUCAUGAUGCUUUGAGCCGAAAAGAGACAGCAAUGAGAGAGAAGUAAAUGAGAUUGGGUUGAGUUAGAGUAAAGCUUCAGUAGGAUAAAGUUAGGUUAGGUUAGGUGAGGUCAUGUUCCUUCACUAGGUUAUAGAUCAUGAUGCUUUGAGCCGAAAAGAGACAGCAGUGAGAGAAGUAAAUAAGAUUGGGUUAAGUUAGAGUAAAGCUUCAGUAGGAUAAAGUUAGGUUAGGUUAGGUGAGGUCACGUUCCUUCACUAGGUUAUAGAUCAUGAUGCUUCGUUAAAAUAGGUUAGAGUAUGUCAUGUUGGUUGUUGGAUUAGUUUAUGUUGUCUCACUAUGUUAUG